rnacentral:rRNA from 1 species
UACGAAGGGGGCUAGCGUUGUUCGGAAUCACUGGGCGUAAAGGGCGCGUAGGCGGCCGAUCAAGUCGGGGGUGAAAGCCUGUGGCUCAACCACAGAAUUGCCUUCGAUACUGUUUGGCUUGAGACCGGAAGAGGUAAGUGGAACUGCGAGUGUAGAGGUGAAAUUCGUAGAUAUUCGCAAGAACACCAGUGGCGAAGGCGGCUUACUGGUCCGGUACUGACGCUGAGGCGCGAAAGCGUGGGGAGCAAACGGG